rnacentral:rRNA from 1 species
CCCUUAGAUGUUCUGGGCCGCACGCGCGCUACAAUGAUGCAGGCAACGAGUGCCGCUCCUUAGCCGAAAGGCUUGGGGAAUCUUGAAAACUGCAUCGUGCUAGGGAUAGAUGAUUGCAAUCGUGCAUCUUGAACGAGGAAUGCCUUGUAAGCGUGAGUCAUCAACUCGCGCUGAAUACGUCCCUGCCCUUUGUACACACCGUCCGUCGCUCCUACCGAUUGGAUGGUCCGGUGAACUGGUCGGACUGCUGUUUGAAAUUGCGGGUGCAGUUGAUUCACGGGAAGUCUAGUAAACCUUAUCAUCUAGAGGAAGGAGAAGUCGUAACA